GACGAACGCUGGCGGCGUGCUUAACACAUGCAAGUCGAACGAAGUGGCGAACGGGUGAGUAACGCGUAAUCAACCUGCCCUUCAGAGGGGGACAACAGUUGGAAACGACUGCUAAUACCGCAUACUGAAGGAGGGGAUUGCGUCUGAUUAGCUAGUUGGAGGGGUAACGGCCAACCAAGGCGAUGAUCAGUCGCCGGGCUGGGAGGGUGGACGGGCACAAUGGGACUGGGGAACGGCCCAGGCUCCUACGGGAGGGAGCAGUGGGGAAUCUUCCGCAAUGGGGGAAAGUCUGGCGGAGCAACGCCGCGGGAGUGAUGACGGCCUUCGGGUUGUAAAGCUCUGUUAAUCGGGACGCGGUACCGGAAUAGAAAGCAACGGCUAACUACGUGCCAGCAGCCGCGGUAAUAC
rnacentral:rRNA from 1 species